AUUGAACGCUGGCGGCAUGCUUUACACAUGCAAGUCGAACGGCAGCGCGGGCUUCGGCCUGGCGGCGAGUGGCGAACGGGUGAGUAAUGCAUCGGAACGUGCCCAGUAGUGGGGGAUAGCCCGGCGAAAGCCGGAUUAAUACCUCAUACGACCUGAGGGUGAAAGCGGGGGACCGAAAGGCCUCGCGCUAUUGGAGCGGCCGAUGUCGGAUUAGCUAGUUGGUGGGGUAAAGGCUUACCAAGGCGACGAUCCGUAGCUGGUCUGAGAGGACGACCAGCCACAAUGGGACUGAGACACGGCCCAGACGCCUAAGGGAGGCAGCAGGGGGGAAUUUUGGACAAUGGGGGAAACCCUGAUCCAGCCAUGCCGCGUGCGGGAAGAAGGCCUUCGGGUUGUAAACCGCUUUUGUUCGGGAAGAAAUCCUCUGGGCUAAUACCCCGGGGGGAUGACGGUACCGGAGGAAUAAGCACCGGCUAACUACGUG
rnacentral:rRNA from 1 species